GCGGCGGACGGGUGAGUAACCGUGGGUAACCUGCCUGUAAGACUGGGAUAACUCCGGGAAACCGGGGCUAAUACCGGAUGCUUGAUUGAACCGCAUGGUUCAAUCAUAAAAGGUGGCUUUCAGCUACCACUUGCAGAUGGACCCGCGGCGCAUUAGCUAGUUGGUGAGGUAACGGCUCACCAAGGCGACGAUGCGUAGCCGACCUGAGAGGGUGAUCGGCCACACUGGGACUGAGACACGGCCCAGACUCCUACGGGAGGCAGCAGUGGUCA
rnacentral:rRNA from 1 species